rnacentral:rRNA from 1 species
CACAGGGAUUGCCCCAGUAACGGCGAGUGAAGCGGCAACAGCUCAAAUUUGAAAUCUGGCCCCAGGCCCGAGUUGUAAUUUGCAGAGGAUGCUUUUGGCGCGGUGCCUUCCGAGUUCCCUGGAACGGGACGCCAUAGAGGGUGAGAGCCCCGUACGGUUGGACACCAAGCCUUUGUAAAGCUCCUUCGACGAGUCGAGUAGUUUGGGAAUGCUGCUCAAAAUGGGAGGUAUAUUUCUUCUAAAGCUAAAUAUUGGCCAGAGACCGAUAGCGCACAAGUAGAGUGAUCGAAAGAUGAAAAGCACUUUGAAAAGAGGGUUAAACAGCACGUGAAAUUGUUGAAAGGGAAGCGCUUGUGACCAGACUUGCGCCCGGUGAAUCACCCAGCUCUCGCGGCUGGGGCACUUUGCCGGCACAGGCCAGCAUCAGCUCGCUGUCGGGGACAAAAGCUUCGGGAACGUAGCUCUCUUCGGGGAGUGUUAUAGCCCGUUGCAUAAUACCCUUCGGUGGGCUGAGGUACGCGCUCCGCAAGGAUGCUGGCGUAAUGGUCAUCAGCGACCCGUCUUGAAACACGGACCAAGGAGUCAACCUUAUGUGCGAGUGUUUGGGUGUCAAACCCCUACGCGUAAUGAAAGUGAACGCAGGUGAGAGCUUCGGCGCAUCAUCGACCGAUCCUGAUGUUCUCGGAUGGAUUUGAGUAAGAGCAUAUAGGGUUGGACCCGAAAGAAGGUGAACUAUGCGUGUAUAGGGUGAAGCCAGAGGAAACUCUGGUGGAGGCUCGCAGCGGUUCUGACGUGCAAAUCGAUCGUCAAAUAUGCGCAUGGGGGCGAAAGACUAAUCGAACC